rnacentral:rRNA from 1 species
ACUCAAAUGAAUAGACGGGGGCCCGCACAAGCGGUGGAGCAUGUGGUUUAAUUCGAUGCAACGCGAAGAACCUUACCUACCUUUGAAUCCACAGAAUCCUUUAGAGAUAGAGGAGUGCCUUCGGGAACUGUGAGACAGGUGCUGCAUGGCUGUCGUCAGCUCGUGUCGUGAGAUGUUGGGUUAAGUCCCGUAACGAGCGCAACCCUUGCCCUUAGUUGCUACAGGUAAAGCUGAGUACUUUAAGGGGACUGCCGGUGAUAAACCGGAGGAAGGCGGGGAUGAUGUCAAGUCAUCAUGGCCCUUACAGGUAGGGCUACACACGUGCUACAAUGGACGGUACAAAGGGUCGCGAACCCGCGAGGGGGAGCCAAUCUCAUAAAGCCGUUCGUAGUCCGGAUUGGAGUCUGCAACUCGACUCCAUGAAGCUGGAAUCGCUAGUAAUCGUGGAUCAGCACGCCACGGUGAAUACGUUCCCGGGCCUUGUACACACCGCCCGU